UAAUCCCAGCCCUCGGGAGGCAGAAGCAGGUGGAUUUCUGAGUUCGAGGCCAGCCUGGUCUACAAAGUGAGUUCCAGAACAGCCAGAGCUAUACAGAGAAACCCUGUCUCAAAAGAGAAAAGAAAGAAAAUGUAAAAAGCAAAAAGCUCCUGACCCAAAACAUUCAGGAAAUCCAGGACACAAUGAGAAGAUGAAACCUAAGGAUAAUCAGGAUAGAAGAGAGUGAAAAUUCUCAACUUAAAGGGCCAGUAAAUAUCUUCAACAAAAUUAUAGAAGAAAAUUUCCCUAACCUACAGAAAGAGAUGCCCAUGAACAUACAAGAAGCCUACAGAACUCCAAGAAGACUGGACCAGAAAAGAAAUUCUUCCUGUCAUAUAAUAAUCAAAACACCAAAUGCACAAAACAAAGAAAGAAUGUUAAAAGCAGUAAGGGAAAAAGGUCAAGUAAUAUAUAAAGGCAGACCUAUCAGAAUUUUACCAGACUUCUCAUCAGAGACUAUGAAAGCCAGAAGAUCCUGGGCAGAUGUCAUACAGACCCUAAGAGAACACAAAUGCCAGCCCAGGCUACUAUACUCAGCAAAAGUCUCAAUUACCAUAGAUGGAAAAAACAAGAUAUUCCAUGACAAAACCAAAUUUACACAAUAUCUUUCCAUAAAUCCAACCCUACAAAGGAUAAAAGAUGGAAAACACCAACACAAGGAGGGAAAAUGCACUCCAGAAAAAGCAAGAAACUAGUCUUUCAACAAACUCAAAAGAAGAUAGCCACACAAACAUAAUUCCACCUCCAACAACAAAAAUAACAGGAAGUAACAAACAGUUUUCCUUAAUAUCUCUUAAUAUCAAUGGGCUCAAUUCCCCAAUAAAAAGAUAUAGACUAAAAGACUGGAUAUGUAAACAGGACUCAGCAUUUUGCUGCAUACAGGAAAUGUAUCCCAGUGACAAAGACAGACACUACCUCAGAGUAAAAGGAUGGAAAAUCAUUUUCCAAGCAAAUGGUCCCAAGAAACAAGCUGGAGUGGCCAUUCUAAUAUCGAAUAAAAUCAACUUUCAACCAAAAGUUAUCAAAAAGAUAAGGAAGGACACUUCAUACUGUUCAAAGAAAAAUCUAACAAGAUGAACUCUCAAUUUUGAACAUCUAUGCUUCAAAUGCAAGGGUACCCACACUCAUAAAAGAAACUUUACUAAAGCUCAAAGCACACAUCGCACCCCAUACAAUAAUAGUGGGAGACUUCAACAUCCCACACUCAGCAAUGGAUAGAUCAUGGAAACAGAAACUAAACAGAGACAAUAACAGACAUUAUGAACCAAAUGGAUCUAAGUGUUGAAUAUUAACAAUUGAAAAUAUUAAAAUCAUGUUCUACAAAUACCAUGGAAAUAUUGAUAAUUUUUCUCACUGUGCUUAAAUUAGCAUUUUCUUAAUGUUUAACUUCAUAGAGUUUUUGUUAUUUUGAAAUUUUUUUUAUUAUUAUUUUUGGUUUGGUUUGGUUUUCGAGACAGGAUUUUUCUGUGUAGCCCUGGCUGUCCUGGAACUCACUCUGUAGACCAGGUUGACCUGGAACUCAUAAAUCCGCCUGCCUCUGCCUCCCAAGUGCUGGGAUUAAAGGUGUGUGCCACCACUGCCCGGCUUAAAUCUUUUAAAAAAGUAAUUUCUGUCUAAGAAACACUGAUAAUCUUUUUUAAGUGAACUGAUUGUUAGACAAUGUACACAGAUAUAUAAUGCAUUUUAAAUACUCUCUCACUAUGUCAAGUGGUAUCAUAUAAGAGCUUUUGAAUAUAUUUCUUUUUUUUUAAAGAUUUAUUUAUUUAUUUAUUUAUUUAUUUAUUUAUUAUAUGUAAGUACACUGUAGCUGUCUUCAGACGCACCAGAAGAGGACAUCAGAUCUCAUUACGGGUGGUUGUGAGCCACCAUGUGGUUGCUGGGAUUUGAACUUCAGACCUUCGGAAGAGCAGUCGGGUGCUCUUACCCACUGAGCCAUCUCACCAGCCCCUGAAUAUAUUUCUUAAUAAUUCAUUUUUAAUAUUUUAUGCUCUUUUACUAUGCUUAAUUCCCAAAGAAUAUUUUUUGUUAUGCAACAAUUUAUUAUCCAAUAUUAGAUAUAGGACUGUCAGUUAUGGAUAGUAUUAAAUAUUCAUAAUGAUAUUUCUAGGGUAUGAAAUAUAUGAAUAUAAAAAUUGAACAAAUUUUUUAUGUAUUAUUAUUUGAUUCUCAAAAUACUCAAUAUUAUUAAUAUGUUUAAUGUAUAAAAUGCAUUUAAAUAAUAAAAAUUGAAAGAAAAAAAAAAAGAACUGCUAUGGGGCCAAAAGAAGAGAGAUUCACUUCAACUAAGAUUGUCCUUGUAGACAAACCAAAAGAAGGAGACAGCCUCAAGAGAAGGCACAAGAAUCAGAAACCUACUCAUUUGCAUAGCUGGGAGUCAAAUAAAAAUAUUAAACUGAAAGCUGGCAGAAUUCUGUGCUGAAACCAUCUGACUGGACUUUGUUUUUGUUGGGGGACUUUCAUGGACUAUUUGUAUUUUACUACAGGUUAUGGGUCUAUUUUAAGUGAUUAUAUUAUCUUGAUUUAACUUGUAAGUGGUACCUACUGAGAAAAUUAUACAUUUCUCUUAUAUUUUCCAGUUUGGUUG
rnacentral:lncRNA from 1 species